GAUGAACGCUGGCGGCGUGCCUAAUACAUGCAAGUCGAGCGAACAGAUGAGGAGCUUGCUCCUCUGACGUUAGCGGCGGAUGGGUGAGUAACACGUGGAUAACCUACCUAUAAGACUGGGAUAACUUCGGGAAACCGGAGCUAAUACCGGAUAAUAUAUUGAACCGCAUGGUUCAAUAGUGAAAGACGGUUUUGCUGUCACUUAUAGAUGGAUCCGCGCCGCAUUAGCUAGUUGGUAAGGUAACGGCUUACCAAGGCAACGAUGCGUAGCCGACCUGAGAGGGUGGUCGGCCACACUGGAACUGAAGCACGGGCCAGACUCCUACGGGAAGCAGCAGUAGGGAAUCUUCCGCAAUGGGCGGAAGCCUGGCGGAGCAACGCCGCGUGAGUGAUGAAAGUCUUCGGAUCGUAAAACUCUGUUAUUGGGGAAGAACAAAUGUGUAAGUAACUAUGCACGUCUUGACGGUACCUAAUCAGAAAGCCACGGCUAACUACGUG
rnacentral:rRNA from 1 species